rnacentral:misc_RNA from 1 species
AUAGAAGUUCUAAAGACCCUAUAUUUUAAUAACUCCCAACUCUUUUGCAAUGCACCUUCCCUCAUCAUUUCAUAGCAAAAGAAAUAAUAGCUUCAACAAUCUGUUUUAGAACAACUGUCAUUUUAGCUAGCAUUAACCAUGGCGUAUUGGUUAAUUACCAUAAGUUGAAUCAUUAAUCUUGCAACAAAUAUAAGAUCUAGGAGGCACAUCUCAAAAGAACAUUAGUUCAAAACAAAACAGUAAGUCAAAAGACUGGAAUUUUAUGAUGAAAGUAAACUACAAGGACAAGCUUCCUCAGGAAUUAGGAAGAGUAAAUUAAUCCUCCACAGGCAGCAUCUGAGACAGUAAAUUCUACAGGCUAACACAAAAUUUGUUUAGCUCCAAACAGUCUGGACAAGCUUGGUAUGAGUUCAGGCUGAGCUAUCUAAUGAAAGGCCAGAUUAAAUUUAAGCUCAUGUUUGGGCUUGAAUAAUUUAAGCGUGCCUGCAAGGCCCAAACUGAAUGCAACAUUAAUUAUCAUAAUUUAUUCUUCAUCAUAUUUUACAGCAAAUAUGAUAUAUUAGGUAAAAGAGACAUAUUUAACUUCUACUUCUUAAAAUAUCAUUCUCCUUGGUAGUUAUGUUAAGUGGACUCUCAAAAAGGGAAAAGGAAAACAGUAAUUUGUAGUGCUUGCAAAAUCUUCUAAUUAUUUUUUAGUCACUGAACUUGUUUUGUUGAGACACAGAUACAUCUAUUUUGCAGCCACCUAUAGCUGCAUGGAGUACAAAUUCUUGUUGUGGCAUAAACAAUGUGGUAGUAAUAUACAUAGUGUACAUGACAACUCGAAUUUAUGUGGUAUUUUAUUGAUAACUUCAAGGUGGAGUUUAUUAUUAUUGAUCCACAACGUCACAUUGCUCUACAACGUCACAUUGUUUACUUAAACUAAGUAGGUGUGUGUAUAUAUAUAUGUGUGUUUUGACUAUACUUUCUCCAUGUCUAUCAAUCAGGAUGGAGGACAUGGAGUUUCUUUUUCUGUGACUUGGUUAUUGGAGGCUUUUACUGCUAAACUUGGUGGCAAUUAUUAUGCUAUUUGUAAAUAUAAAAUAAGAGUGAUAAUACAUUAUUUGCAUAUUGCUUCUAUAGAUAGUGGAAUAGGAACCAUAGUUCAAUUUGCAUUUUUAAUAGCAAAAAAUAAUGACUAAAUAAAAAAAUUAAUAGGCCUAUGAAAUUUAUAGAAGCAGGUUCUAAGCAGAGAAAAGUGAAGAGGGAAGAAGCCUCAUAAAUCAAGUAUCCGAGCUCUUCUCAUCAUUCUGAAAAUCAAUUGUGCCAAACUUCAUUUUAGCCUCGUGCAUUAACAUUCCUAGUGGCAUUCAGAGGUUGCCAACAUUUUGCUCCACAAAUAACGUACACAGAGAAAAUUUCAAAAUCCAACAAGCAAACUACUUAAACUAAGUAGGGUGCCCUAAUUUGUUUAGUGAAUAACUAUAGCAGCAUAAAAUUUGUAAAUGGGGUGAUGAUAAACAUAUAUGCUUCAAGUUACACCAAAUGUAGAAAGAGAAUCCAUACCCAGGAAGGCCACAAUUAUGGCA